UACGUAGGGGGCGAGCGUUGUCCGGAUUCAUUGGGCGUAAAGAGCUCGUAGGCGGUUUGGCAAGUCGGGUGUGAAAUCUCUGGGCUCAACUCAGAGAGGCCACUCGAUACUGCUAUGACUAGAGUCCGGUAGGGGACCAUGGAAUUCCUGGUGUAGCGGUGAAAUGCGCAGAUAUCAGGAGGAACACCGGUGGCGAAGGCGGGUCUCUGGGCCGAUACUGACGCUGAGGAGCGAAAGCGUGGGGAGCGAACAGG
rnacentral:rRNA from 1 species